rnacentral:rRNA from 1 species
AUUGAACGCUGGCGGCAGGCCUAACACAUGCAAGUCGAGCGGUAACACAGAGAGCUUGCUCUCGGGUGACGAGCGGCGGACGGGUGAGUAAUGUCUGGGAAACUGCCUGAUGGAGGGGGAUAACUACUGGAAACGGUAGCUAAUACCGCAUAACGUCGCAAGACCAAAGUGGGGGACCUUCGGGCCUCAUGCCAUCAGAUGUGCCCAGAUGGGAUUAGCUAGUAGGUGGGGUAAUGGCUCACCUAGGCGACGAUCCCUAGCUGGUCUGAGAGGAUGACCAGCCACACUGGAACUGAGACACGGUCCAGACUCCUACGGGAGGCAGCAGUGGGGAAUAUUGCACAAUGGGCGCAAGCCUGAUGCAGCCAUGCCGCGUGUAUGAAGAAGGCCUUCGGGUUGUAAAGUACUUUCAGCGAGGAGGAAGGCGUUAAGGUUAAUAACCUUGGCGAUUGACGUUACUAGCAGAAGAAGAAAAGGAGAAAGAAGGGAAAGAAGAAGA